CACACCGCCCGUCACACCAUGGAAGCCAGCUGUACCGGAAGUCGGUGCGCCAACCCGCAAGGGGGGUAGGCCGCCUAUGGUAUGACUGGUGACUGGGGUG
rnacentral:rRNA from 1 species